rnacentral:lncRNA from 1 species
AGUGUUAUAUUAAUUAAUUAUGUAACAAAAUUAAUAAUAAAAUUAAAAUGGUAAAAUUUUUCCAAAAUAAAGAAUUAAUUGUUAUAAUCAUUUAAAAUACUUUUAUUUUUUAAAAAUUAUUCUAAUAAUUUAAAUUAUUUUAGAAUAUUUUAUUUAUUUAUUUAAUAUUAUAUUUUUUUAAAAAUAUUGAAUUUAUUAAUUAAUGAAACAUCAAAUUAAUAAAUAUACUCAUUAAAUAUAUUAUGCAACUCCUACAGUGCAAGCCAUUUUUCAGUCCAUCUAUUUUUAGUUUUUCAUUUCAUCUUUAUCAAAAAUCAAAAACAGAUUCUACUCUUGUCUAAAUGCAUUACUGGUUUUUAAUGUUUGGCCAGGCUUCUAAAUUUUAAUAGCAGAAGUAGAAGCUCAGCUAAACAGGUACUUGGGAUAUAUUAACAGGAUAGGACAAAUUAUGAUUAAUUUGUUCAUUUAGAUAUUUGAGAGUGAAAACUUAGACAUUAUAGCUAGAGUUUCUUAGAUAUCAGAUACAAUCAAAUCUUAAAAACAAUACUUAAAUGUUUGAUUACAUCACACAAACUAGAGAAUUGAGAAAACUGCCAAAGCAUUUUAUUGAACAACUCAACGCUUCAAAAGUAUAAUUAUUAAGGUAUUUAUAUUGAUUACUAACUUUUCCCAGAUGUGACUAAAGUAAGAAAUACUAACACUAAUUAGAACAGGAAAACUAAGUACUAAAAAAAAUAAAAUUUUAAAGUUACUAAAACUAUAAUAAUAAAUUUCUAAAUUUAUUUCAAAAAAUAAUAAUAAUAAGUUUCUAAAUUGUAUUAUAGGUUUAUAUUAAAAGAAAUAAUAACGUCUAAUUUGUUUAAACAAUCUAAAUUUGACCAACUCUGCCUCAUUUUUUCUGGUUGGAGAAGGUUAAUCCAUGAGUUUUGAAGUGGUGCUAAUGUAAAAAAAUAAUUACCAAACGUUUUAUUCGGUCAUUCUCUUCAAUAACAAAUAUAAUGGAAAUCAAACUUUUUUUAGAAAAGUGGAAUCCUAGUGGUAGGGUAAAAUCAAAAUAUUGACCAAUCGGUGUGUUAAGUUUCUAAAGCAUGGAACUUCCAUAGAGUUAUCUGUUAGGAAAAUAUGUUGAGCAAUAGAAACACACGGUGGUUCUUCUUGAUUCUCCACUUUAGGGUUUGCAACUAUGUGCCUUACUACAAACAAAAGAGAGCUAUUUACUUGUUCACAAUCAACUAAAACCAUUCUCCUUAUAAGAUAUAUAAUCAUUGAAUGUCCUCCUUUUGUUUCAUUCAAAUAGGCAAGUUGUUCUUCUUUGGGCAUUGAUACCCAUAUGUUCACUUUUUAUGGGGAAUUUUUGCAACAGGCUUUGAGUUCCUGCCAGUCAGAAGGUUUUGGUGCCUCAAAGGUGGAUGCGUCAAUCAGCUCCUACUGGUGAUCAUGAUCUAGGAUGGAGGCUGCUAGACUACAUUAGAGUUUGCCAUUCUUUGUGCUUUCUUUUGUAGAUGAGUCUGGAGCUAUUUAGGCAUAGGGUUUUAGGUGUUUGAUGUAAGAACUUUUUGCUUUGACACCAACUAAUAUAGAUCAAUUAAGAUAAUUUGCCCACUCAAGGAUUUGGGAACAAAAACUUCAUCUUUAUGAAAAAGUUAAUCAUCUAACCUAAGAAGG